CCUACGGGAGGCAGCAGUGAGGAAUAUUGGUCAAUGGCCGUAAGGCUGAACCAGCCAAGUCGCGUGAAGGAAGAAGGAUCUAUGGUUUGUAAACUUCUUUUAUAGGGGAAUAAAGGUAUCCACGUGUGGAUAUUUGCAUGUACCCUAUGAAUAAGCAUCGGCUAACUCCGUGCCAGCAGCCGCGGUAAUACGGAGGAUGCGAGCGUUAUCCGGGUUUAUUGGGUUUAAAGGGUGCGUAGGUUGUUUUUUAAGUCAGCGGUGAAAGUUUGUGGCUCAACCAUAAAAUUGCCGUUGAAACUGGAAGACGUGAGUGUGUUUGAGGUAGGCGGAAUGCGUGGUGUAGCGGUGAAAUGCAUAGAUAUCACGCAGAACUCCGAUUGCGAAGGCAGCUUACUAAGCCAUAACUGACACUGAAGCACGAAAGCGUGGGGAUCAAACAGGAUUAGAUACCCGAGUAGUC
rnacentral:rRNA from 1 species